rnacentral:lncRNA from 1 species
GUUGACAACCCUGUGUCCUGUGGUGAAGAUCGUGUCCGCUCUAUAUCUUGAGAACCGUUAUGAUUUCAAAGUUUAUACUUGACAUGUAUAUGAACCAACACCAGAGGGUGUGUCAUAAUUUAUGAACGACUGCCUAGGGCAAAGUUCAAGGUCAAAAACUUUGGUUUCAGUUGACAACCCCAUGUCCUAUGGUAAAGAUUGUGUCCGCGCUAUAUCUUGAGAACCGUUAUCAUUUCAAGGUUUAUACUUGACAUGACGUGUAUAUAAACCAACACCAAAGGGUGUGUCAUAAUUUAUGUGCAACUUCCUAGGUCAAAGGUCAAGGUCAAAAACUUUGGUUUCAGUUGACAACCCCAUGUCCUAUGGUAAAGAUCGUGUCCGCUCUAUAUCUUGAGAACCGUUAUCAUUUCAAAGUUUAUACUUGGCAGGUUUAUAAACCAACACCAAAGGGUGUGUCAUAAUUUAUUUACAACUUCCUAGGUCAAAGGUCAAGGUCAAAAACUUUGAUUUCAGUUGACAAACCCAUGUCCUAUGGUAAAGAUACAAUUUUUUAAUGCACAUUAUUCACAGCGGGGCCCACAGAGAUGGCUCCUAUCUCAAUGAUAUCUAGUUAGUAACAUGUAUUUCUACAUCCGUUACUUGAAUUUCUACAUUUCUUGAUUUGUGAAAUGUAACUUCUUCAAGCAUUAUUUUGUAAACGUAUUUUAUUCAUUCGUUUCAUGAAACACUUCAUUUCUGAAUUUGUGAAAUGUAUUUUACUUUGUUUGAGUCACGUUUCGGAUAUCGUGUCAAUGUAAUAGACCAUUUUCAUAUUACCGACUUUCGACUCCGGAACUUUUUUUGACAGGUUACCUUCUCCCUGGUUGAACAUCCUGGUACUCGGCUAAGCAAGACCAACGUAAAUAAGUAAAUUCAAGAUUUUGAUCGGUUCGAUUGUGAGGGACAGUUAACUGUUUAAUGCUGACUAUACAUAAUGACUAAAUCAACAAUGAACUUUCCCCCCAAAUUGUAUCGUAUAUAUAAAAUUUAGUCCUGGUAUCUGUGAUGAGUUUAUUCAUACCCUAACCGAAAAAUAAGCCUUGUGGCAAACAUUGCCGAAAGUUAUGAAUGUUAUUAAAGUAGACGUGCUUUUAUAGAUGUAUCAGAGCAUACGUUCAUAGAUGCAUUCAUGUUAAAUGAAUUUUGUCAGGAAAUUUUCAGGAAAAGAAACAGAUAAAAGACACACAGUUGUAAUAGACAUUUCCGUUAUUAACGAUGAAAGUUAAGAUGUUUCUGAUUAUCUAGAAAGGAUGUGUUUCUCACGGUCUGGUAAU